GCGGAGGUGGCAGAACCCGGUUAAUGCGCGCGCCUGCAAAGCGUGUUUUUGAGAGUUCAAAUCUCUCCCUCCGCU
rnacentral:tRNA from 2 species